rnacentral:sRNA from 1 species
UAAAAGUCGUAACAAGGUUUCCGUAGGUGAACCUGCGGAAGGAUCAUUACAGAAUGAAAAGUGCUUAACUGCAUUUUUUCUUACACAUGUGUUUUUCUUUUUUUGAAAACUUUGCUUUGGUAGGCCUUCUAUAUGGGGCCUGCCAGAGAUUAAACUCAACCAAAUUUUAUUUAAUGUCAACCGAUUAUUUAAUAGUCAAAACUUUCAACAACGGAUCUCUUGGUUCUCGCAUCGAUGAAGAACGCAGCGAAAUGCGAUAAGUAAUAUGAAUUGCAGAUAUUCGUGAAUCAUCGAAUCUUUGAACGCACAUUGCGCCCUUUGGUAUUCCAAAGGGCAUGCCUGUUUGAGCGUCAUUUCUCCCUCAAACCCUCGGGUUUGGUGUUGAGCGAUACGCUGGGUUUGCUUGAAAGAAAGGCGGAGUAUAAACUAAUGGAUAGGUUUUUUCCACUCAUUGGUACAAACUCCAAAACUUCUUCCAAAUUCGACCUCAAAUCAGGUAGGACUACCCGUCNAACUAA